rnacentral:rRNA from 1 species
CUACGGGGUGCAGCAGUGGGGAAUAUUGGGCAAUGGGCGCAAGCCUGACCCAGCAACGCCGCGUGAGGGAAGAAGGUUCUCGGAUUGUAAACCUCUGUCCUUGGGGACGAAGAAAGUGACGGUACCCAAGGAGGAAGCUCCGGCUAACUACGUGCCAGCAGCCGCGGUAAUACGUAGGGAGCAAGCGUUGUCCGGAAUUACUGGGCGUAAAGGGUGCGUAGGCGGCAUAUUAAGUCAGGUGUGAAAUAUUCGGGCUCAACCCGAAGGGUGCAUUUGAAACUGGUAUGCUUGAGUGUGAGAGAGGAAAGUGGAAUUCCUAGUGUAGCGGUGAAAUGCGUAGAUAUUAGGAGGAACACCAGUGGCGAAGGCGACUUUCUGGCUCAUAACUGACGCUGAGGCACGAAAGCGUGGGUAGCAAACAGGAUUAGAUACCCGUGUAGUC